rnacentral:rRNA from 1 species
GUACAAGCUUGCUUUUUUGAGACCGGCGCACGGGUGAGUAACGCGUAUGCAACCUACCUUAUACAGGGGAAUAGCCCGAAGAAAUUCGGAUUAAUGCUCCAUGGUUUAUCGAUAUGGCAUCGUAUUGAUAAUAAAGAUUUAUCGGUAUAAGAUGGGCAUGCGUAUCAUUAGCUAGUUGGUGUGGUAACGGCAUACCAAGGCAACGAUGAUUAGGGGUCCUGAGAGGGAGAUCCCCCACACUGGUACUGAGACACGGACCAGACUCCUACGGGAGGCAGCAGUGAGGAAUAUUGGUCAAUGGAGGCAACUCUGAACCAGCCAUGCCGCGUGCAGGAUGACGGUCCUAUGGAUUGUAAACUGCUUUUGUACAGGAAGAAACCUCCCUACGAGUAGGGACUUGACGGUACUGUAAGAAUAAGGAUCGGCUAACUCCGUGCCAGCAGCCGCGGUAAUACGGAGGAUCCGAGCGUUAUCCGGAAUUAUUGGGUUUAAAGGGUUCGUAGGCGGCUUUGUAAGUCAGUGGUGAAAUUUCCUAGCUUAACUAGGACACUGCCAUUGAUACUGCAGAGCUUGAAUAAUAUGGAAGUAACUAGAAUAUGUAGUGUAGCGGUGAAAUGCUUAGAUAUUACAUGGAAUACCAAUUGCGAAGGCAGGUUACUACGUAUUUAUUGACGCUGAUGAACGAAAGCGUGGGGAGCGAACAGGAUUAGAUACCCUGGUAGUCCACGCCGUAAACGAUGGAUACUAGCUGUUCGGUUUUCGGACUGAGUGGCUAAGCGAAAGUGAUAAGUAUCCCACCUGGGGAGUACGUUCGCAAGAAUGAAACUCAAAGGAAUUGACGGGGGCCCGCACAAGCGGUGGAGCAUGUGGUUUAAUUCGAUGAUACGCGAGGAACCUUACCAGGGCUUAAAUGUAGAUUGACAGAUUUGGAAACAGAUUUUUCUUCGGACAAUUUACAAGGUGCUGCAUGGUUGUCGUCAGCUCGUGCCGUGAGGUGUCAGGUUAAGUCCUAUAACGAGCGCAACCCCUAUUGUUAGUUACCAUCGCGUAGUGGCGGGGACUCUAGCAAGACUGCCGGUGCAAACCGUGAGGAAGGUGGGGAUGACGUCAAAUCAUCACGGCCCUUACGUCCUGGGCUACACACGUGCUACAAUGGCAAGUACAGAAAGCAGCUACCUGGCAACAGGAUGCGAAUCUCCAAAGCUUGUCUCAGUUCGGAUUGGAGUCUGCAACUCGACUCUAUGAAGCUGGAAUCGCUAGUAAUCGGAUAUCAGCCAUGAUCCGGUGAAUACGUUCCCGGGCCUUGUACACACCGCCCGUCAAGCCAUGGAAGCUGGGGGUACCUGAAGUCGG